GUGAGUGUUUAAAUAAACCCGAAGACAAGGAAAGAGUAUGGAGAGAUGAGAAAUUUAAUCAGGAGAGGCUUCCCAGAAGAGAUGUGAUUCAGAAGGCCUUUGAAGAAGGGGAAGUCUGUGGUCUGCUGAUGUAAAGGGGAAGUUUCACGUCCACUCCCCAGUUGUGAGAUGUCUGAAAAGGAGAAAAAUGCUGAGAUCAGUGAUUCCCUCCUUACUCCGAAUACCUCAUGCUGAGACUGUAAAUCAUCUUCAGGGCUCGGGAUCAUCACCAAAGUAGACAGGGAAGGGAUGAAACAACUGAGGCAAUCGGAGGAUGAAUAACUUUUCCAAGGUCACACGGUAGACAAGAGGCAGAGAAGGAUGUGGAUCCUCGCAAUUCUAAUUCCUAGACUGUGGUCUUUCCAUCAGGUCAUGCUGCCUAUACUAGUCCAAUUGAGGAAAAGAAGUAUAUAUUUGGUGUCUUUUACUUAGGUUGAUGUAAUGUUUGCUUAGUUUUUCACCUCUAAUUUUUUAAUACUCAAAAUUUAUGUAAUUUGAAGAACAGCCAAGUUUCUAAGAGAAAUUUAUGUUAAAAAUGCAGCGGAUGUAUGACCAUUCAAAUUUGUCACUUUUUUAUUAUUGUUGUUUUGGGUUUUUUUUAAUAAGAAAAUGUGACCUUUCCCAUUACUUUGCUCUAGGUUCCUUGAUGAUUAUCCCUUACCAUGUUUUCCUCUGGUGGAAAUGGUCUCUAAUUAAAAACAUAACAAACCCCAAACCUCCAAGUAAGCAAACAGAAAGCAAAUGGUACUAUGAAUAUCAGCAUUUACUG